rnacentral:rRNA from 1 species
GAUGAAUGCUGGCGGCGUGCCUAACACAUGCAAGUCGAGCGGCAGCGAGUUUUACACUGAAUUCUGGAAGCUUCUGAGUAGUACAGAAGAUUUAUUCAAGAGUUUUGUGUAAAAUGUCGGCGAGCGGCGGACGGCUGAGUAACGCGUAGGAAUUUGCCCCAAAGUGAGGAAUAACUGCCCGAAAGGGUAGCUAAUGCCGCAUAUGGUCUUCGGAUUAAAGCCUUCGGGCGCUUUGGGAGAAGCCUGCGUUGGAUUAGGUAGUUGGUAGGGUAAUGGCCUACCAAGCCGACGAUCCAUAGCUGGUCUGAGAGGAUGAUCAGCCAGACUGGAACUGAGACACGGUCCAGACUCCUACGGGAGGCAGCAGUGAGGAAUCUUCCACAAUGGGCGAAAGCCUGAUGGAGCAACGCCGCGUGAAGGAUGAAGGCCUUUGGGUUGUAAACUUCUUUUAUGAGUGAAGAAUAUGACGGUAACUCAUGAAUAAGCACCGGCUAACUACGUG